rnacentral:misc_RNA from 1 species
GGAGAAUUUGCUACAAAAACUUCAAGACACAAAAUAGGCUUAGACUAAGCCUCUUUCCACUGCUGAAGAAAAGAGGACGCCUUCAAGAGAAUCUGGGUAGCCAUAGCAGGUCUCCUAUUCCAAAGCAUAUCAUUUCUAGCAAACCAAAUAACUCAAAGAGUAGCACAAAACACCAUCAGGUCCUCCUUUCUUAUAAGUCUAAAUAUUUCCUCCAACCAUGCUACAGCUCUAUUUUGAGAGAGAAUAGACAAAUUGGACAACUGAAGAACUUGUGGUAAUAUCA